rnacentral:tRNA from 1 species
UGCCUUAUGGUGUAAUGGUAGCACUCCGGAUUCUGGUUCCGUCUGUGUGGGUUCGAGUCCUACUAAGGCAA